rnacentral:lncRNA from 1 species
UCUCAUAGCUAUGGACAAGAAUUGUGGAAGAGGUGGCUGAAAUUCCUUCGCACAAUAUAGUUUUAAUGGUUAAGACAGUGGUUUGUGCUUUCAGGUUGUGGAAAUAGGAAAAUAAUUUGUCAACAAAGUUAUACUCAAGAAAAUGAAAACCAGCACCUUUUCACUUGAUUUUUGUGCCUAUCAUUCAAGAUCGUAAUCAGCAGCACAAGCACAACGAUAUACUAGUCAUUUUUAGGCUUUGACCAUCCAAAUGCACAUUGAAGUUUAGCUAUCAAGGCAAUAGUUCUAAACAAAACAACUGGUGAUAAGAAGGGAAAAGCACCUUUUGCACAAUAAGCUACUACAAAUAACGCAACAAUAAAGAUUAUGACAGAACGAACAAUUAGCGUAUUACACAAUUUAAAUUGCUGACGCAGCAGAUUGAUUCAAUCACUCUUCUUUAAAUCUUUCUCCUAUAAACAACUCAAGGUUCAUGUUCAAACUUACAAAGCAGAGUUGAUGAAGAAGAUCCA